rnacentral:misc_RNA from 1 species
AAGAUCUCAAUCCCGACGUAACUGUAGCACUUGUACCUUUCCUUGAAGCUUCCCCUUUCUUUGGUGGAGCACGUUUGUUAGAUGAUCUUUUCACCCUACUAUCAAUCGCUGGUUCCUCAAAACCACUACCACCUCCUCCCUCGAAAUGAAAUCCAUCACUUUCGCCUGAAGAAGAAGACAAAGACAAAGACGAACUAGCCUCCUUUUCAGAAUCAUACAGAUUAAACCCAUGAUCAUUAGGUCGAUCUGGCAAAGAAUUUUCAUCGACAUUUUUAGCAACGAAGUUCAGAAAUGCUUCCUCAUCAGCAUUCACCACAGCAGGCUUUUUCGCAGCAGAUUUUUUGGGACGUCCACGCUUCCGCUUCAUUUCUUAUAUUUGUGAAUUGGGGAUAAAAUUGGGAAUCAGGGCUGAGAAAUGUAGAGAAUCCAGGGUGUUGGGUGAGGGAGAUUUGCUGCUGCCUUCAUCAUCCACUAACAGGCUCAAAGCAAGGCCUUUGAGAAAUGAGAGUGGAAGUGUAGUGUCGUUUCCCUCGCAGUGUCGCUAAAUGGUG